rnacentral:rRNA from 1 species
CAAGUCGAACGGGCACCUUCGGGUGUCAGUGGCAGACGGGUGAGUAACACGUGGGAACGUACCCUUCGGUUCGGAAUAACUCAGGGAAACUUGAGCUAAUACCGGAUACGCCCUUUUGGGGAAAGGUUUACUGCCGAAGGAUCGGCCCGCGUCUGAUUAGCUUGUUGGUGGGGUAACGGCCUACCAAGGCGACGAUCAGUAGCUGGUCUGAGAGGAUGAUCAGCCACACUGGGACUGAGACACGGCCCAGCCUCCUACGGGAGGCAGCAGUGGGGAAUAUUGGACAAUGGGCGCAAGCCUGAUCCAGCCAUGCCGCGUGAGUGAUGAAGGCCUUAGGGUUGUAAAGCUCUUUUGUCCGGGACGAUAAUGACGGUACCGGAAGAAUAAGCCCCGGCUAACUUCGUGCCAGCAGCCGCGGUAAUACAAGGGGGCUAGCGUUGCUCGGAAUCACUGGGCGUAAAGGGCGCGUAGGCGGCCGAUUAAGUCGGGGGUGAAAGCCUGUUGCUCAACCACAGAAUUGCCUUCGAUACUGGUUGGCUUGAGACGGGAAGAGGACAGCGGAACUGCGAGUGUAGAGGUGAAAUUCGUAGAUAUUCGCAAGAACACCAGUGGCGAAGGCGGCU